CCCUGCUGCAGGCAGCGAUGGCAGGCAUGCACAGGGACAGCAUCUACACUGGGCUGGAGAGACCCAGCGAAGACGUGUACAGCACCGUGAACCCCAGGGCGAAGGCAGGCAAAGGCCCUCCGUACAGACUGGCUGCAGUGUUGCUGGCCCUGCUGUGCUCUGGCUUGCUGGCUGCGGUCGCAGUGCUCGCUGUGCAAUCACCCUGUCAGAAGGUCGUGGCGCCCUACGGCACCAGAGAGGAGGAAGAGAGAGGCAGAAUCCAGCCGGCACGCUCUGCCCUGAACCGCAGCUAUGCCGAAAUCGCGGAGCACUACGCACAGCUCCUGCAAGCCUACAACGAGACCACUGAGAAAUACAACACGCUGUACCAGUACUGUGCCAGCACCCGGGCCCGACAGAAGCUUCCUGGUAAGAGAGACCAGCGAGGGAGCAAGAAGACUGAACUACUGGAUUGGACUGGUGUGUGAGACGGAGGGAGGCUGGCUGGACGGCACACCGCUGAGCACAAGACAGUAAGCCCAAAGAGUGAGGGAGCAGAGCCUUACC
rnacentral:lncRNA from 1 species